GUUUUAAAUUUGAAUAAAGAAGAUUCAGGUUGUCUUAUACGUCAAUGAUACACACAAAAAAAAAACGAUAACAAAUAAAAUAAGGUGCAACAUUCAUUCUCCAUGAAAAGAAUACAUCACAUGGAUGUAAUUUUUGUAAGAAAAAUACCAAUUUCGUGAGAAGUUGUGUGUUGGACUUGAAGAGCCAAGGCAAACUGACAAAUAUCUGAAUGAACGAAUCGAUUUAUGGUAUAUAAAAAAAAGCCCACAUGGUUAGCAUUGAAUAAAUAGAAGGCCACUCUUAAAUGAUCACAACGUAGAAGUUUUUGUUCUCUUAAUCAAUAAGAUAUUUUCUGAAAUAACGCGGGUCCCUAUUAACUUAAAAGUUUUUUUGUUUUUUUUUUACCAUGAAUAAACUUUUUUUUUUUUUAUUAUUAUUUAUUGAUAUCAGCUCUGGACAUUAAUAUUCUUAAAAGUGAAACUGUUGUAAGUGAUGGUAUAACAAUUAUUUAAAAUAAAUUUCUUAAAUGAUAUGUGAAAAGAAAGUUUCAUUUUAUGUAUCAAAAUGUGUAACAAAUGAUUAUUUAAAUCCCCA
rnacentral:lncRNA from 1 species